GUUUAUUGCUGAUCAUUUCCAAAUUCACCCUUCAUUACUUACUUUGUGACAAUGGAUAUGAGCCUUUUAAAUACUUUUUCUUCACCAGGUGGCAGAAUGUUAAGUUUUGUCAGAGGAGGGUGCUGGAGAGACCAUGCUUUAUAAAGUGGUUUUCCUUCCUGAUUCCAAAGUGCACUGUCAGCAGCCUCCUGCAGUGUGCACGGCUUCUCCAGAGCUUGGAUCCUGUAGCACAUGCACCUUCCUCAGUCUUUUCAAAUCAUCUCCUUACACCAACCCCAGAAGACAGCAUGUGCUGUCAUCAAGUGACAUUAGUGCCAUCUUGGCAGUCAAAAAUUUAAAGUGAGUGAUUGAGAAGUGUGUAUGCAGUCAAAACAAAUCACUCAAGAGUCACAAGAGCAGUUAUUGCAUGUCUGACUUCCCUGAUUCAACUGCAAGCUCCUUGAGGGUAGGAGUUCUUCUUUAUAUCCUUGUUCCUGGAAACACAUCUGGACCACAGAGCAGCCCUUAUAUAAGUAAAUUUUAAAAUGGAUAUUCAUUUAUUUAACAAUAUUAAAUAUGUUCUGUACAUGAAGAACUGUGCUGUAUACUGUUCAGGACAGGAUAUGAGCAUUAAUAAUACAUAUCCACAAAGUAGAGUCUGGAGACAAUGAUAUUAAUAAGUAAUUAAGAUACAAUACAAAUAUAUAGAGGUGUGAAAGGGUGUAAUGUAUCCCAGGAAUGAGAAUAAAUUUAGUGUAACCUAGUGUGAAGGAUAGAAACAAGGACAGAAAGGUGAUUGGGUCUUGUUAUGAAAGAUUUCAUAUGACAAGUGGUAUCAGUCAACACGUUUUUUGAUUGCAAGGGUCAUGACUGCAACCUGAACAAACCUUGGAAGGGCAGAAACCCUUCUGAAAAAAGAAAUAGAGACUAGAAAGAUAUAAGGAUUCUCCAUAUCUCUCUCCUUCCCCUGCCCUCUUGUUUCUGCUCCUCUCUGAACGGCAUUUUCUUUCCCUCCUUUUGCAG
rnacentral:lncRNA from 1 species